AUUCUUACCUGGCCGGGGAGAUACCAUGAUCACGAAGGUGGUUUUCCCAGGGCGAGGCUUAUCCAUUGCACUCCAGAUGUGCUAACCCCUGCGAUUUCCCCAAAUGUGGGAAACUCGACUGAUCAUUUGUGGUAGUAGGGGACUGCGUUCGUGCUCUCCGCUG
rnacentral:snRNA from 1 species